UUUCAGUAAAAAAUUCAGCAACAUUUUUGGAGCCUUGCAUAAUCUCAGAAACUUGUUGUUGGAGGGAAUAGAGUUGCGGAGCAGAUACAUAGCCAUAUCUUUCUUCAAGAUCGUCCCAAAUGUCCUUGGCUGUUUGCAGAUAUAGCACACUUUUGGCAAUAGUUGGAUCAAGAUUGAACAAGAUCCAGGAUAUCAUUAGAUCAUUGCAUCUUUUCCAUGCUGAAUACAAUUUAUCAUCUGUUGUUGGUUCAGGAUGUAAGUAGUAUGGACUGGUGAAAUCUUGACUUUGAGGAAAAUUUUGUGAUGAAUGUUCAGCCAUAAGCAGAGGAUUAGAAGACAUAUUUGAGAAGAAUGUAAGAAAGAUGAAAAACAGGAAAAGAAUUGAUCAAAAGAAAAAAAAAAAAAAAAAAAAAAAAAAAAAACUUAUAACGAAUUUGAACUGGAUUAGAUGAAUAAGGAUGAAAUCAGUAAUCAGAAAUGAAGAGAAAGAAUCAAGAAUGAAGAACAAGAAAACAGAUCAUGAACAAGAAAUUUCAACAAUUCAACUUACAACAAUCUGUAUUUCAAGGAAAGGAAUCGAAUUCAAUCAGCCAUCGUUUCUUGAAAUUGGCGUGAAAAAUGGAGGUAACAGCAAUUUCGUUGAAGUUUCCAAGAAAUUAUACUCCAUAGUGGCAUGCACACAUCCUGAAUUUUGUGAGGCGGAAGCAAGGAAUGGAUCGGGGUUUAGUCUGAUACCAUGAUGAAAUCAGCAAAAACAAAACAAGGAAAAACAUAGAAGAUCAGAAAGAAGGAGGAGAAGAAGGAAGAUGGGA